CCUGGUAAUUGUGUUGUUUUUAUGACAAAUAAGGUGUUUUUUCUAAUUUAUUGUUUUCCAGAAACCCUUUUUGCAGUCUGUCUGGAAGCAGUCAAUGCAAGUAAAUAUGUGCCACGUGCUCCCGUUGGUGUCCAACCUGAAGAGUGUGAUUCACCAGCUCUACUUGGUUCCCUGUGAUUUACAGUGGAGGAAGUUAUAUAAUUAACCAUAUCCAGAAGAGGUAGACGCCUCCAAUAUCUCAGGUAGGGCUUUUAAAGGGUUUUUGUGAUCUUAAACUGAGUUUUUAUAGGUGUUUCUAUUUCCGGACGACAGUGG
rnacentral:lncRNA from 1 species